rnacentral:rRNA from 1 species
UACGGAGGGUGCAAACGUUGCUCGGAAUCAUUGGGCGUAAAGCGCACGUAGGCGGUCCAGCAAGUCGGGUGUGAAAGCCCUCGGCUUAACCGAGGAAGUGCAUUCGAAACUACAGGACUUGAAUACUGGAGAGGAUCGCGGAAUUCCCGGUGUAGAGGUGAAAUUCGUAGAUAUCAGGAAGAACACCCGUGGCGAAGGCGGCUCUCUGGGACGGUACUGACGCUGAGACGCGAAAGCGUGGGGAGCGAACAGG